CCUACGGGAGGCAGCAGUGAGGAAUAUUGGUCAAUGGACGAGAGUCUGAACCAGCCAAGUAGCGUGAAGGAUGACUGCCCUAUGGGUUGUAAACUUCUUUUAUAUGGGAAUAAAAUGUUCCACGUGUGGGCUUUUGUAUGUACCCUAUGAAUAAGGAUCGGAUAACUCCGUGCCAGCAGCCGCGGUAAUACGGAGGAUCCGAGCGUUAUCCGGAUUUAUUGGGUUUAAAGGGAGCGUAGGUGGAUUGUUAAGUCAGUUGUGAAAGUUUGCGGCCCAACCGUAAAAUUGCAGUUGAAACUGGCAGUCUUGAGUACAGUAGAGGUGGGCGGAAUUCGUGGUGUAGCGGUGAAAUGCUUAGAUAUCACGAAGAACUCCGAUUGCGAAGGCAGCUCACUGGACUGCAACUGACACUGAGGCUCGAAAGUGUGGGUAUCAAACAGGAUUAGAUACCCCAGUAGUC
rnacentral:rRNA from 1 species